GAAUAUUGGACAAUGGGGGGAACCCUGAUCCAGCCAUGCCGCGUGUGUGAAGAAGGCCUUUUGGUUGUAAAGCACUUUAAGCGAGGAGGAGGCUACCUGGAUUAAUACUUUAGGAUAGUGGACGUUACUCGCAGAAUAAGCACCGGCUAACUCUGUACCAGCAGCCGCGGUAAUACAGAGGGUGCGAGCGUUAAUCGGAUUUACUGGGCGUAAAGCGUGCGUAGGCGGCCAAUUAAGUCAAAUGUGAAAUCCCCGAGCUUAACUUGGGAAUUGCAUUCGAUACUGGUUGGCUAGAGUAUGGGAGAGGAUGGUAGAAUUCCAGGUGUAGCGGUGAAAUGCGUAGAGAUCUGGAGGAAUACCGAUGGCGAAGGCAGCCCCCUGGGCCUGUACUGACGCUCAUGCACGAAAGCGUGGGGAGCAAACAG
rnacentral:rRNA from 1 species